UACGUAGGUGGCAAGCGUUAUUCGGAAUUAUUGGGCGUAAAGCGCGCGCAGGUGGUUUCUUAAGUCUGAUGUGAAAGCCCACGGCUCAGCCGUGGAGGGGCAUUGGAAACUGGAGAGCUUGAGUGCAGAAGAGGAAAGUGGAAUUCCAAGUGUAGCGGUGAAAUGCGUAGAGAUUUGGAGGAACACCAGUGGCGAAGGCGACUUUCUGGUCUGUAACUGACACUGAGGCGCGAAAGCGUGGGGAGCGAACAGG
rnacentral:rRNA from 1 species